AUGUCGCACUCGGUUGAGAUGGAGGAGGCCGAGGUGGUUCUCACCCGCGCGAUGGUGGCCUCCAUUACUGGCAAUAGGCCACCCGUGUCCGCUGCCGAGGUCGCCGACGUGCUCAUCUCCUCCCUCGAGCUCGUCGACGGUGACUUCACAGUUCACGUCCAUCACCCCGAAGAUUUUCUGAUCCUCUUCAACUCGCGCUCGACCAUGGAUCGCCUCAACGGUGAUCACUUCAUCCGCUCCCCGCGGUUCUCCCUCUCCGUGCGACCCUGGAGCAAGCUAGCUCAUGCGGGCUCCGGCCAGUUCGAGCACCGCGUCGAGCUUGAGCUCCGGGGCAUCCCCGCUCAGGCAUGGCACCUCUCGACGGCUGAGCAUAUUCUUGGGGAGAGCUACUGGAUUGAGAGACUCCACCCCGGCACGCGUUCUAGGGCUGAUUUGGCCGUCUUCCGGCUGGCGGGGCGCACGCAUGAUCCUGCCAACAUCCGCCGCGCCGCCAUCCUGGAAAUCGUGGAACAGAUCCCCGCGCGCGUGGGCUCGGAGGCGCCUGCCAUCCGGACCCUCACCUACCCGAUUUCCAUCGCGCUGGCCCGUGCGGAGAGGAUCGGCGCCCCAGCUCCCCGUGCUGGCGCUGGCGACGGACCGGCCGGCGGUGGCGCCGGUGAUGGCGACGGCCCUGCUCGUGGCAGGGGCCCUGGCCGUGCGCGUCGCCGCGGCCGCAAGCGUCGAUGCUCGGAGGCGCCGCCGGCCGGCCGGGCUGAUGGCAUGGCCGUCGACUCCCUGGGGUGGCGGGUUGGGAACUGCGCUGCGCGCACCGACGGUUUGUCCGUCGCGUCUGCAUGGCCCGCGCCGCCCUCCGCGGUUGCGCCGCCGUCCGUACACCGUCGCGGCUGCGCCAUAGAGUCCUUGCCUGGGCAGCGUGGUCAGCUGGAGCAGCAGCGCGAUCAGCAUGGCCCCACCAACAUGCGUGGCCGCGCCAGAAAAGGGAGGCGCAAAAGAAAGCCAAAGCAAGCUUUGGCGGUGGCCCAGGCGGGCAGGGCCUCUGUUGCUGUAGGAGAUGACGGAGAUGCGCGAAGGACGCCUGUCGGUGGCCCCCCGCCUGGCCCCUCGGCUGCUCCAAUCCCCAGCGUGGAGCCAGGCCACGGACCAAGUGGCACGCCCCCAUUCGCGGAGAACACUCCGGAAGGAUCCCGAGAUUUGAAUCUCACACCAUCGGAUGCCCCCGAGGAGGAUUGUAUGGGCCCUGGUUCUGAUGCUCCUGAUCCGAGGAAUUGUCGGGAUUUGCCCGAUAUGCGCGUGGGACCAGCCUCACAGCCUGUGCCGGCCUGCUUGUCGGGGCAAAGCGGCGUCUCGCCUGCACCCCCACCCGACGACGGCCCUGUCCCCGCUGACCGGUCCUCCGGGCCCCAUGCGCGCGUCGUGGGUGGAGGAGAGGAGCGCCCCACCUCGUCCCCCCAGGCCAAGGUCUCUCUACCGCCCCAGGCCCAGCCCAUUGAGGACACUGGGCUCUCGCCCCAGGUGACUAUUCUGCAGAGGCCACAAAGCCCGAUCACCGCAACGGGACUCAACUUGGAGGCCCACACACCUGCGAGGGCCCAACUGGGGACGAAUCUGCCUGCUGCCGAGCGCUUCGCAUCCCCGCCGAUCACCAUGCGCCGUUCCCGCGCCCGUCCCGCUGCGCCAAGCUCCCUAACGUUGGGGGAAUUUCUGGCCGCCGCCACCAAGCACAUCGAUGCGGCCCUGCCGACGCCUGGGAGGAGGCCGCGCAGGCCCCUGAACUUCUCCCCCCGUCGCGGCCGCUCGGCUGCCACUGCCCGCCCGGCGGCGGCGCCACCCACCGCCGAGAGACGUGCGCAGGUCCAAAUCCUGCGCACCCUGGGGAUCCUUGGGACAAAUCAGAAGAUAACCCCCGCCGAGAUGAAGGCCUACGAUGGCAUGUUUGCGAUGCCCAUCCCGCUCCAGGUGCUCAAGGCCAUGGCCGCGUUGGUCGACCGCGAGAUCCCAGCAUGCCUAUCCUGCCCGCCGAUCGUGCCAGCACAUGUCGAGGUCGCCUGCACAUCCUAG
rnacentral:rRNA from 1 species